rnacentral:rRNA from 1 species
AGAGUUUGAUUAUGGCUCAGAUUGAACGCUGGCGGAAUGCUUUACACAUGCAAGUCGAGCGGCAGCGCGGGGCAACCUGGCGGCGAGCGGCGAACGGGUGAGUAAUGCAUCGGAACAUGUCCAUUCGUGGGGGAUAGCCCGGCGAAAGCCGGAUUAAUACCGCAUACGCCCUGAGGGGGAAAGUGGGGGACCGCAAGGCCUCACGCGAAUGGGUUGGCCGAUGUCCGAUUAGCUAGUUGGUGGGGUAAAGGCUUACCAAGGCGAUGAUCGGUAGCUGGUCUGAGAGGAUGAUCAGCCACACUGAGACUGAGACACGGCCCAGACUCCUACGGGAGGCAGCAGUGGGGAAUUUUUGACAAUGGGGGAAACCCUGAUCGAGCGACGCCGCGUGGAGGAUGAAGGUCUUCGGAUUGUAAACUCCUGUCAUUUGGGAACAAGGUGCACACGUUAACUGCGCGCGUAUUGAUAGUACCAGAAGAGGAAGAGACGGCUAACUCUGUGCCAGCAGCCGCGGUAAUACAGAGGUCUCAAGCGUUGUUCGGAUUCAUUGGGCGUAAAGGGUGCGUAGGCGGCGCGGUAAGUCGGGUGUGAAAUCUCGGAGCUUAACUCCGAAACUGCAUUCGAUACUGCCGUGCUUGAGGACUGGAGAGGAGACUGGAAUUUACGGUGUAGCGGUGAAAUGCGUAGAUAUCGUAAGGAAGACCAGUGGCGAAGGCGGGUCUCUGGACAGUUCCUGACGCUG